rnacentral:rRNA from 1 species
UACGGAGGGGGCUAGCGUUGUUCGGAAUUACUGGGCGUAAAGCGCACGUAGGCGGCUUUGCAAGUUAGAGGUGAAAGCCCGGGGCUCAACUCCGGAAUUGCUUUUAAAACUGCAUCGCUAGAAUUGUGGAGAGGUAAGUGGAAUUCCGAGUGUAGAGGUGAAAUUCGUAGAUAUUCGGAAGAACACCAGUGGCGAAGGCGACUUACUGGACACAUAUUGACGCUGAGGCACGAAAGCGUGGGGAGCAAACAGG